GCUUUGAAGUCCCAUUUGGAAAGCCCAGUGAGGACUGCUUUCACAUGGGCCAGCCAGAGCCCCACCAUUCAGAGAGAAUUUGUAAGGGACUCCAGGUCCAAGAACUCAGACAAAGAUUUCUUGUUUCUAUAACCUGCCUCCUGGAAGCUUCUGAAGGGCUGUUAGUGGAACCUGAGGUGGGCAGCAGUAACAAGUGGUGAUUGAUAUCAGGUGAGGAAACUGAGUCAAUGAGUGAUAUUGGGUGAUUUGCUCAGGGAUAAACCAUAAGUUCACAGAACAGAUGUGAUUGAAAUGCAGGUUCUAAAUUGACCUCAAGCACACUUUCCACACUUUUUGCUGGAAGCUGUUAGUUGUGUUAUCCUCACUGAUUUACCCAGAAGACUCUGCAGAGAUUUUUUAGAUCUCCUUUCCCCCUUCUCCCCACAUCCUUCUCAAGCAGCCCUGCAAUGUAUUUUUACUGGAGGUGUCCAAUCAACACAGGUGAUGACAAAAAAAUAAACACCUAUGUGCCAUGGACUGUGGUAUUUUCUAGUAUUUUAUUACACACAAGAGUAAAACAAUUCAUGCUAAAAAGUGUUCCUUUUUGUGUUUCCUUCUAUGUUAUACUGUAGGCAGCUGUUCACUUUGCCUAGUUCUGAUCCCAAGUCUACUUCCAACUGAAAGGAAAAAGAAAAAGAAUUACCAAAGUCCAGUGGUAAAACAGAGUUCAGGAUGACUGGCAAUGUCCUGGAAUGAAGGGAUGACCUUGGCAUCUCUGUUUAACCAAGCUCUAGGCACUCCACAGUGCCCAUUUCAGCUGACUCCAUGGCCACUGGGACAAAUUAUUCUCAUUUGCCCAUUCCACUGGGUCAUUUUGAAGGAGGAGGAGGAAGAGGAGAAGAAGAAGGAAAAGAAGAAGAAGAAGAGAGGAGGAGGAGGAGGAGGAGGGGAAGGAGAAGAAGAUGGAAGAGGAAGAGGAAAAGAAAGAAAAAAAGAAAAUAAAAGCUUUUUCAGAUUGUAUUUAGAUUCCAUCAGUUCUUUCUCCAAGGGCAAAUUACAUUUUUUCAUAAUGGAUCUCUGGAAUUGUCUUGGAUCACUGCAUAGCUGGGAAUAACUGUCAUUCACAGUUGUACAUCAAGAAAUAUUGCUGACACUGUGUACUAUGUUCUUCUGGUUCUGCUUAUUUUACUCUAUACCAGUUCAUGUAAGUCUUUUCAGAUUUUUUUCGGAAACAAAUCUACUUGUUAUUUCUUAUAGCAAAAUAAUAUUCCAUCACUAUCAUAACUUAUUCAGUCAUUCCCCAAUUGAUGGGCAACUCUUCUACUUCCAAUGCUUUGUUACUGCCAAAAAGCUGCAAUAAAUAUUUUUGUACAAAUAGGUCCCUUUUGCUC
rnacentral:lncRNA from 1 species